rnacentral:lncRNA from 1 species
AAAAAAAAAUAACCCAUAGGACCCUUUUCACCCUCACAUACAUACUAAUUAAAAUACGUGUCCCAAAGUCAUCAAUAUUCCAGCACCUGAGAACCUGGGGAGGGGGUGGAAGGCAGUCGAAUUCAACUUCUGGGGACACCAGCAGAGGGGUCUGUGCUACUUGCUCUUGAGUGUAUGGCAGCCUGUUUUAACCUGCAUCCUCGUUUCCGUGGUCCCCCUUCUGUGCCUGGAUGGAUGCUGCUCCCAGCUGCCUAUGCACACGGGACCCCUGUGCCCCACGCUUCCAGCCCAGAGGUCCUGUCAGGCUUCCUGAGUGGGCCCUGUGACUCCCAGGGCCCACUGGUCUCGGCAUCCUCCGUUAAGUGAAUCCCAGAGGCUCAGGAGAUCCCCUCGACCCCAGUUCUUCUGAUUUUCUGUUUUUUCUGCUUUUAUUGCCCCUUUCUCUUCUCCAUCUACCCAUUCUUCUCUACUUCAUCACCAUUUCCUCAUCUGGUCCUCUGGGGGGGUGUCCUAGGCCAGCCACUCCUCCUUUGGGUGUCCCAGCACCAGCCUGGCACAAAGUGGGGUUCAGUAAGAGUAUGUGGGGUGUAUGUUUGGACAGGUGAGUCAAUGAAGGAACUUGACUGCCAUACUUGAGCUGCUAGGCGGGAGUUGUUGAGGAUGCAAGAAGUUUUAGGUCAAAAGGGUGGAGGGUGGAUGUCCUUUUACUGAGAGGAGUGGGCAUUGCCCCACCCCAGCCCCAUUUGAGUGGGGGCCUCACCAGUCUCACCCCUUCGUUCACUCAUGCGUCCAUCCCGUCAUCCAACAGUUGAUCCUUACUGAGCAAGCCCACGGUCCGGCCCCGGGCUGGGCACCUGCCACCCUAGCGCAUCCCUUGAUGGCCUCUGCGUCCCCGGGGGGUGGCGGGCCAGGGGGUUGCUUCUGCCCAGGGUGGCCUCGUGGCUCCCGGGCGCGGGAGGAGCGGACUCCCGCUCUGCAGGCAAGGCAGGUGGGGUGGGGUGUGAGGGGCGGGCCUGGUUUGGCCGGCUGGCCCCCUUUUAGUUCACACCCUGGGGGGGGGCGGGGGCGGGCCUGGAACCUGCCCUUCUCUAGGGCUCGCCGCAGGUCCCAGCCAGCCCCUCCGGCCCUCUCGGCCUCCCACCCCAUCCCCUAGCUGAGUGCUCGUGGCUGAGCUGGACCCCCGUACCUGAAGUUCAGGACUGAGGUGGCGGCGUACGGGCAGCUGUGGUGUAUGUCCCCUUGGGCUCUGGCCACACAGGUCUCCCUCUUGAGUUGGGGUCCGUGAGCUGGACCCCUCCCUCCAUGAUGCCUUCCUCCCCCUGGGGCUAAGUCCAGCUCCUUUGCCCCCGACUUGUGGGCUGGGGCGUGUCCAACGUCAAGGGCCCCUGGCCGGGAACCUCCAGGGAGCACUACAGGCCCUGCCUCUGCCUAGCUGCCCACCUGCUCUGCUCUCCCUGGCGGCUCCUCCCCUGGCUCCCCCCUCCCCCUUGCUAGGUUGACUGCCCACCUGUGGCUCCGCUUUCCCCACCUGACCCAUUUCCCCUUCUCUGUGCCCCAGUCACUGGGCUUGGGACCCUCUGGGUCUCACCCAUCCAGCCCUCUACCUAACAGGUUGGUUUUCCUCGCUGAGCCCACACCUGUGGUUACCUGGCCCUGCCUGCUGCCCCGCCCACCUCCCACCUGCUUGCCUUUCGCCUGCCUCUCCCCCAGGGCAAGGAGGCCCUCCCCCUCAGGGUCGCCCAAGUUUCCGGUUGGUCUCCAGUGCUCGUGGCACCCCUCCCCUACCAUCCUCAGAGGCCUCCUCCCAUGGGCCUGGCCUCCCGGGCUCUGAGUGCCUGUGGGCUGCUGCCAGACCUCUGUCCUGCUCCCUUCCCCCCACCCCAAUCCCCCCAGACUGCUUGUCAUCAUGUCCUACCGGGCCUGCCUGUACGGCCGUCCUGUAUCCACGAGUCAGGCUCUGCCUUGCCCCCGGCCUCGUGGCCGGUCUGGGGGCUGCCACCUGGCCUGUCGCUUCUGUUCUUGUGCUUCUCUUCUUGUACCUUCUCCUGUCAUUGGCAUCCCUACGAGCCACCUCCCUCCACCGAAAACCAGGCUGCAGGUCAGCCCGUCCUCGACACCCUGGCGGCGACAGUCGGCUGAAGAACUGGACGGAAGAGGCAGGAGAGUUGCCCUGGACCAGCGCUCCUUCAGAACGGUCACCUGGCAUCUCAUGCCCACCUGGUGCCCCGUGACUCCCUCCUGGUUUGGGCUGAAGCCGUCUCGAAUCCUCCGUGGGACAGGACCGUGGACACGCAACCCCAGUACCCUCCAGCUCCAAAAUCCCUCCACAGCCACGGGGAUACCUGCACGCGUUCCCGUGGGACAGGCCGGACCCAAAGACUCUGGACCCGGGCCACUCCCCUGCAUGGACGGGCGCGUCCACCCCGCCUCCCCGCCCUCUGACUGAUGGACUUCACUGAUCUGAGUGUCAGACACGCGGGCUGGACCCCUCCCCACCCCUCACGAACCCUGAGACUUGGGGGAGCGCCGAGCCUCGCUGUCUGCAUCUGUGAAACGGGAUCGGACGCCUACCUCACAGGGCUGUUGUGAGGGGCAUGUGACACGGUCGCAAAGUGCCCUCCUGGGGGCUUGGCACACCCUGCUGUGUCUCAAUAAAUGUGUUUCUUGCCUG